AUUUGACGUUAGCGACAGAAGAAGCACCGGCUAACUCCGUGCCAGCAGCCGCGGUAAUACGGAGGGUGCGAGCGUUAAUCGGAAUUACUGGGCGUAAAGCGCAUGCAGGUGGUUUGUUAAGUCAGAUGUGAAAGCCCGGGGCUCAACCUCGGAAUAGCAUUUGAAACUGGCAGACUAGAGUACUGUAGAGGGGGGUAGAAUUUCAGGUGUAGCGGUGAAAUGCGUAGAGAUCUGAAGGAAUACCGGGGGCG
rnacentral:rRNA from 1 species